GUGUGUGUGUGUGUGUGUCCGCGUGUGCAUAUGCAUGCAGGUAGCACAUGUGAAAAGCAGAGACUCCUCAGCCUUAUGCAGGGUCCACAGCCCCUUGACCUGUGAACCCUACAGAAUGUGUCUCCUUUUGUAAUCCUCUCAUUCUUUCUGUGAGCAAGGAUAAAUUUGAGCUCAGAGAGGAGCUGUAGAACUCCAGACAUCCACUUCCCGGAUUGGAAAAAGGAAACUGGCUUUUAUCUAAGGAAGUCACAUUAAAAACCCAAACCCCUGGGUGUUUCUGACCUAUGAAGAGUUGAAGUUGGAAAGGCUUUGCACAGUGUCCUCCAGCCCCUUAAAGAGCAGCAGUGUAGUAAGAGAAGAAAGAUGAAGCUCUGAGAGACAGCCCAGAGGCUCGCACAUAGUCCUUCCUAGCGGCACACCUCUGCUUAGACCAACUUCAGAGGAAUAUCGAGAAGCCGGAGAGGUCCAAGAGCCAAGGGGGAUUGAGGGGUUUAGAAGAGGAAAAAAAAAAAA
rnacentral:sRNA from 1 species